rnacentral:rRNA from 1 species
AGUGAACGCUGGCGGUAGGCCUAACACAUGCAAGUCGAACGGCAGCACAGUAAGAGCUUGCUCUUACGGGUGGCGAGUGGCGGACGGGUGAGGAAUACAUCGGAAUCUACUUUUUCGUGGGGGAUAACGUAGGGAAACUUACGCUAAUACCGCAUACGACCUACGGGUGAAAGCAGGGGAUCUUCGGACCUUGCGCGAUUGAAUGAGCCGAUGUCGGAUUAGCUAGUUGGCGGGGUAAAGGCCCACCAAGGCGACGAUCCGUAGCUGGUCUGAGAGGAUGAUCAGCCACACUGGAACUGAGACACGGUCCAGACUCCUACGGGAGGCAGCAGUGGGGAAUAUUGGACAAUGGGCGCAAGCCUGAUCCAGCCAUACCGCGUGGGUGAAGAAGGCCUUCGGGUUGUAAAGCCCUUUUGUUGGGAAAGAAAAGCAGCAGGUCAAUACCCCGCUGUACUGACGGUACCCAAAGAAUAAGCACCGGCUAACUUCGUG